rnacentral:rRNA from 1 species
UACGAAGGGGGCUAGCGUUGCUCGGAAUUACUGGGCGUAAAGCGUGCGCAGGCGGCUUUGCAAGACAGAUGUGAAAUCCCCGGGCUUAACCUGGGAACUGCAUUUGUGACUGCAUGGCUGGAGUGCGGCAGAGGGGGGUGGAAUUCCACGUGUAGCAGUGAAAUGCGUAGAGAUGUGGAGGAACACCGAUGGCGAAGGCAGCCCCCUGGGCCAACUACUGACGCUCAUGCACGAAAGCGUGGGGAGCGAAACAAGG